CACUGCAGCACAGCAGUUACCCCUCCCUUACAAAAUAACUUGAUACCAUUACCUUCAUUAUCAAACAGAAAAGGAAUAUAAUGCUGCCACAUUUACACUGAAUGCAAUUGUGACACACUCUAUAUUUUCCCUCGCCACGAGUCCUCUAGCGGGAGUGAUGGGUGACCCGCCACACACAAAACCACUUCCUGUGGCUGAGGGCCCAGCUGGUAGCCUGAGGAAGGGUAAUUAUACAGAGCACGGUGAAUUGAGACUGAUUAUGGAAGCGUCUGUCACAGACCAGAGGAACAGGCAUGGAGAUCUGAGGAAAAAGAGCAUGCAGCACUACUGGACCGAAGCUUGAAGAGGGGUCAGACAGAGCGGGGGUAGCGCCACUUCGGACAGCACGGGGUGCCCUGCCUCUCUCACCUGGCCAGACCCACUGGCUCUCUACGGACCCCUGCUGCCCCUGCUACCUGGAUACAGACCAGACAUAGCAGCUUCUUCAACAAGCCAGAGGAGCUUUGGAGGGGAGUUCUGGCGGAGACUGGCGCCGGAGCUCGGAAGGGUCGAGGGAAGAGGACCAAGAGGAAGAUGAAGAAAAAUCUGAACUGAGGCCAGAACAUCGGAGAAGGGCAUCGGGGGGUUCCUGUGGCUGGGGUUGAACGCAGCCCAUCCUGAAGAGUGGGGCCAUACAGAACAUGUCCUGCCGUGUGGAGUCGGAGCAACAGGAACUGCAGGGGGAGCUUCUGCGGCAGCGUGACGAAUGAGAUCGCAGGAGGAAGAUGAGGGUGAAGAGGGAGCGAGGGUGGACUGGCAUCAGUCUGGGGCCCCCUGACCCUGGACCCAACGGAGGUUACGGACUACACUGUCACCGCGCGGUCAUCACCAUCUGUAAGCUGAUUGGUGUAGAGGACAUGUACGCCAAGGAAGAGGGCUCCGUCAACCUGCUCAACAUCACCAUGGCUCUGUUCACCAGACUGGCCAAUCAGAGACCCAACAGUUUCUGGCUGGUGAGUUUCAGCCGGAGCGCGGGCCCCUGCCCCUCAUCGUGGCCACCCCUAAGAAUGGAGUGCAUCCUGACCACAAACCCGAGGAAGAGACAGGACAUGAAACGCAUGACAGGGCAUGUGACGUUGUCGAAAAUGAGAGCUGUCUAAUAAAAAUGUAAACUCUCCAAAAUGGCUUGUGUUGUGUGCAAUUGCUUUUGAAGGAGCUGUCAGGACAUGUCAUGCUUUGAUGACAGUUAUA
ensembl:lncRNA